rnacentral:rRNA from 1 species
UACCACUUAAAUUAGAAGUUGGUUUAGAUUUAAUGCUAUGUAGAGACAUAACACAUGCAAGUUAAUCAUAUAUCCUCCUUAUUGUAAGGAAGAAAUAGGAUAGCAAUUCGGUGAGUUAAUAUAUAAAUAUAUAUUAUAUUAUUAUAUUUAUAUAUAGGUAUAGAUAUUAGUUAAAAACUAGUCAUAGAAACCAAAUCGAUGAUAAAUAGUCAGAACGAUCACAUUGAUAUAUAUCAAUUAUUAUAAAUAACAGCAGUGAGGAAUAUUUGACAAUGAUCUAACGAUUGAUCAAGUUAUCUACAAGAUAUAAAUACUAUUAAUAAAUAAUUAAAUUAUUUAAUAUAAAAAAUAAUAGUAAUAAAUAAAUAUCAAAUUAUAUUUAAUAAUGAUAAAUAUAAUAAUAAUCUAGACAAAAUUAUGUGCCAGCAGUCGCGGUUAUACAUAAUAGGUUAGCAUUAAUCAGUAAAGGUUUAAAGGAUCCGUAGAAUGGUUAAAUAAUACCUCCCCCCUCCAUCUUUGAUGGAGGGGGGAUGGAAAUAAACUAGAUUAUUAAAUAAUAUAUAAUGAAAUAGUACUAAAGAGAUGAAAUACUAUAACAGUACUAGUACAGUAAAGAAUAUAUAUAAUAAUAAUGACAUUGAGGGAUGUAGAUUAUAGUAGCGACAUGGAUUAGAUACCCAUUUAGUUAUAAUUGUAAACUAUGUACAUAAUAAUAUAAGAUAAUUAAAAAAAUAUAAUGUACCACCUGAUUAGUAAGUUCGCAAGAAUGAAAAUCAAUACUUUAGCCGGUUAUAUUUCUAACAGUGAAACAUGUUGUUUAAUUGGAUAAUCCUCCUAAAAUCUUACCUCUCCUUGAAUUAAUAAUAUUUUAUUUAUUAUUAACAGGUAUUACAUUGUUGUUGUCAGUUCAUGUUGUAAAAUUUAAUAUUAAGUUAUUUAAUGAACGUAAUCCACAUAUAUAUAUAUAAUAAUAUAAAUGAAUUAGAUAGAUCUAAUUGGAAGCAGUGGUUAAAAACUAAUCAUCAUGAUCCUUAUGGAGAAGGGCUACAAACGUGUUAUAAUAAUAUUAACAAUUAUAUAAAUAUAUUUAAGCUAUUAAUCUUAAUUAGUUAAUAGACUUAUUAUUAUAAUAUUUAUUAUAAUUAAAUAAUAUUAAUAAAAUAUUAAAUUAUUAAAAUGGAUUGAUUAUUGAAAUUUAUAAUCAUGAAAAAGGAAUUGUUAGUAAUCAUAAACUAGAGAGUUAUGGUGAAUCUUUAAUUUAUUUCGGACUAAUUACUCAUCAAGAGCAAAGAUAUUAAUUUUAUAAUAUACCCCCUUAUUAAGGUUUAAAUAUUAUAAUCAUAUUAAUUAAUUUGUUUUAAGUUGAAAUACAGUUCGGUUAGAUGAAUUUGAUCGGGAAUUAUUAAACGA